ACAGCAGCAUUGUCCCUGACUCCCAGCCUACCAUGAAAACAGAGAGUACUAUGUAAGUACAUGGUCUCUGUCAUUCAAAUUACAAUUGAUUUAAAAUCUGAUUUUGAAUCAGACAUGUUUACUCAUAGAGGAGCUUUGAGACCGUGUGUGCGUGCGUGCAUCUCUGUGUGUGUUCGAACAGAUUCUCCCACUGGAGGAAAGUGUCUGUAUCUGAGAUGCUGCUGCCGGUACAGAGAGGCUUCCAGAAGGCACUGCCCAAACCAGAACUUGAGAACGUAGAGCAACAGGAGCGUCCGUCAUCGGCCCAGAGAGGUUCUGGGUCGGUCCCUGGGUCAGCAGUCAGCCACAAGCAGCUCCACGCCCAGCUCACCCAGCGCCUGGAGGAGGUCCUCCGCAAGAGGGACCGGGGUACUGGGCCCGAGGAGCGAGCUGGAGUCCAGAUCAGAGUGCCUGAGGAGCGAGGUAGGCCACAGGACCGAGGGUCCCGAGAGCGAGCUGGAGCCCAGGGAGGAAGCGGGCCUGAGGAGCAAAGUGGAGCCCAGGGAGGACGAGGGCCUGAGGAGCAAGAUGGAGCCCAGGGAGGAAGAGGGCCUGAGGAGCGAGGUGAGCCCACUGGGAGAGGUGCCAAAGUGUCACGGCAGGAUGCAGGAAGGCCUGGUCAGACCAAGGGGAAACCUAAGAGCCAGAAGUCUCAGGAAACUGAAGCCACCCCAGGGAAAGCCCCUGUCAAACCCACCCCAGCUAAAGAUAUACAGGAGAGGGCAACACCUAACUCCAAGGUUAAGGCCACUGGGUCAAACUCCAGUAAAGACAAGAGAGAGGAGGUGGUGACGGGCACCAUGAUGAGGUUAAUCUCCAGCCACUACGAGAAUAGCACAUCAUCCACCACCAUUAAAUCCCCUGUAGAGUCUGUCCCUCGCUGGCCCCUUCCACCCACCAACAGGUACUGCAGCAACAGAUCUGUUUUGGAGAAGAGUUGGUUGCCGCCAUCGAUGGUGGGAAGGGCAAAAGCACCGGGAUAUAUGAAGUCCUACACUAACUCCAAGAAGCCCUCUGCAGAACAACAAGGAGAUGACGUCUUUGCGUUCAAAGUGGAUACAUCUAUGACCACUGGGGUAAAUAAAUAUAUAUUUGAUCUACAUAAAUCCAAUUAA
rnacentral:lncRNA from 1 species